AGAUUCUUGACCUGUAUGUAAUUUUCAUGCAUGUGGUCUUAGAGUCCGUCUCUUGCUCUCAUUGUCACAUCUCCUCCUUUUACACCCCUGGAUUUGGCACACCACUAAGGUUCACAGUGAGGCCUCCCGUUUCAAAAAUGCGUGUGUGCUCCUGCACCUAAUGUACAUGCAUAUUCAGUGUGACUGCAUAUGGAAAUGGAGCAUCCAUGCCAACAGUUUUCCAGCCAACAGGCUUUUUGCAUGUGCUUUACUCAUUCAGGAAAAUGCUCUGAAUGUCGAACUCCAAGAUACGUUUGUGCACCUGGAGCUCUGCACUUGGAAGC